UUCUAUAAAUACACUCUUUUUUUUUAUUAUACAUAGAUCUUUUACAAACCUGAAUACACAAAAAGACUGAGACAGACAUUUUUUUGUAGACUUAAAAAUACACUGAUUCUACACUACUCUGGAUAUCUCUUUCUUUCACUAUUAGCAAAGAACUCCUGCCGAUUUUUCAAGAACUCCUACUGAUUUUUCAUACUAUCUUCUGGAUUUUUGGGUUUUAAUUGGAAGCUGGUUUUAGUUGUGUAUUUCUUGCUGCUGCACUUACUCAACAUUUUGGAGACAUAUUGUCUCUCUGUUUGUUUUCUUGGUAUUUUUCUUAACAACAUAAAGCUUCAUCUUUGUUGAAUCAUAACUUGGAUUAGUUAAUAAAGCUGUAAUUAGCUUGAAUAUUGCAUGAACCAUGUUGAUUUGAAGUUGUUUGUUUAAAAGUUUUGUUGCAAAUUCAAUUACUUUAUUUUAGGCAAAUAUAUUAGUUUAGAAGUAUUCUGAAAAUUGCAGAAUCUGCUUGAAGAUUCAAACCUAUAUACAAUUUCUAUGUUCAUUUAUAGUAGUAUCAUAUAGAUUAUUUUCUAGAAAUUCUGUUAAAAUAGCAAUAGACAGUUUGGUUAUUCAACAACAACAACAACAACAACAACUACCUAGUAUAUUCCCAUCAGGUGGGAGUCCGG
rnacentral:lncRNA from 1 species